rnacentral:rRNA from 1 species
CACAUGCAGUCGAGCGGUAGCACAGAAAGACUUGCUCUCGGGUGACAAGCGCCGGACAGGUGAGUAAUGUCUGGGAAACUGCCUGAUGGAGGGGGAUAACUACUGUGAACGGUGUCUCAUACCGCAUAACGUCUCACGACACCAGUGUGGGACCUUCUGGCCUCAUGCCCUCUCAUGUGCCCCCAUAGGAUUAUCUCUUAUGUGGGGUAAUGUCUCACCUAUGCGACAAUACCUAUCUGGUCUGAGAGGAUGACACCCCCCACUGUAACUGAGACACGGUCCACACUCCUACAGGAGGCACCACUGUGGAAUAUUGUGCAAUGGGCGCACGCCUGAUACACCCCUGCGCCGUGUAUGAAAAAAGCCUUCUGGUUGUGAAGUACUUUCUCCGAGAAGGAAAGCGUUUUGGUUAAUAACCUUAUUGAUUGACAUUUCUCUCACAAAAAACACCGGCUAUCUCUGUGCCCCCACCCGCGCUAUUACAGAGGGUGCGCGCGUUUUUCUCAAUUACUGUGCGUAUAGCGCACACACGCGCUCUGUUAUGUCUCAUAUGAAAUCCCCGGGCUCACACUGUGAACUGUGUUUGAGACUGUCACGCUUGAGUCUUGUGUAGAGGGGUAUAAAUCUCCGUGUAUCGCUGAAAUGCGUAUAGAUC